UACGAAGGGGGCUAGCGUUGCUCGGAAUCACUGGGCGUAAAGCGCACGUAGGCGGAUUGUUAAGUCAGGGGUGAAAUCCUGGAGCUCAACUCCAGAACUGCCUUUGAUACUGGCGAUCUUGAGUCCGGGAGAGGUGAGUGGAACUGCGAGUGUAGAGGUGAAAUUCGUAGAUAUUCGCAAGAACACCAGUGGCGAAGGCGGCUCACUGGCCCGGUACUGACGCUGAGGUGCGAAAAGCUAGGGGAGCAAACAGGG
rnacentral:rRNA from 1 species